rnacentral:rRNA from 1 species
GGCUAGGGGGCCAUCCCGGCUUACCAACCCGAUGCAAACUGCGAAUACCGGAGAAUGUUAUCACGGGAGACACACGGCGGGUGCUAACGUCCGUCGUGAAGAGGGAAACAACCCAGACCGCCAGCUAAGGUCCCAAAGUCAUGGUUAAGUGGGAAACGAUGUGGGAAGGCCCAGACAGCCAGGAUGUUGGCUUAGAAGCAGCCAUCAUUUAAAGAAAGCGUAAUAGCUCACUGGUCGAGUCGGCCUGCGCGGAAGAUGUAACGGGGCUAAACCAUGCACCGAAGCUGCGGCAGCGACACUGUGUGUUGUUGGGUAGGGGAGCGUUCUGUAAGCCUGUGAAGGUGUGUCGUGAGGCAUGCUGGAGGUAUCAGAAGUGCGAAUGCUGACAUAAGUAACGAUAAAGCGGGUGAAAAGCCCGCUCGCCGGAAGACCAAGGGUUCCUGUCCAACGUUAAUCGGGGCAGGGUGAGUCGACCCCUAAGGCGAGGCCGAAAGGCGUAGUCGAUGGGAAACGGGUUAAUAUUCCCGUACUUGGUGUUACUGCGAAGGGGGGACGGAGAAGGCUAUGUUGGCCGGGCGACGGUUGUCCCGGUUUAAGCGUGUAGGUGUGUGUUCCAGGUAAAUCCGGUUCACUUUAACACUGAGGCGUGACGACGAGGCACUACGGUGCUGAAGCAACAAAUGCCCUGCUUCCAGGAAAAGCCUCUAAGCAUCAGGUAACAUCAAAUCGUACCCCAAACCGACACAGGUGGUCAGGUAGAGAAUACCAAGGCGCUUGAGAGAACUCGGGUGAAGGAACUAGGCAAAAUGGUGCCGUAACUUCGGGAGAAGGCACGCUGACACGUAGGUGAAGUGAUUUACUCAUGGAGCUGAAGUCAGUCGAAGAUACCAGCUGGCUGCAACUGUUUAUUAAAAACACAGCACUGUGCAAACACGAAAGUGGACGUAUACGGUGUGACGCCUGCCCGGUGCCGGAAGGUUAAUUGAUGGGGUCAGCGCAAGCGAAGCUCCUGAUCGAAGCCCCGGUAAACGGCGGCCGUAACUAUAACGGUCCUAAGGUAGCGAAAUUCCUUGUCGGGUAAGUUCCGACCUGCACGAAUGGCGUAAUGAUGGCCAGGCUGUCUCCACCCGAGACUCAGUGAAAUUGAACUCGCUGUGAAGAUGCAGUGUACCCGCGGCAAGACGGAAAGACCCCGUGAACCUUUACUAUAGCUUGACACUGAACAUUGAGCCUUGAUGUGUAGGAUAGGUGGGAGGCUUUGAAGUGUGGACGCCAGUCUGCAUGGAGCCGACCUUGAAAUACCACCCUUUAAUGUUUGAUGUUCUAACGUGGACCCGUUACCCGGGUUGCGGACAGUGUCUGGUGGGUAGUUUGACUGGGGCGGUCUCCUCCUAAAGAGUAACGGAGGAGCACGAAGGUUGGCUAAUCCUGGUCGGACAUCAGGAGGUUAGUGCAAUGGCAUAAGCCAGCUUGACUGCGAGCGUGACGGCGCGAGCAGGUGCGAAAGCAGGUCAUAGUGAUCCGGUGGUUCUGAAUGGAAGGGCCAUCGCUCAACGGAUAAAAGGUACUCCGGGGAUAACAGGCUGAUACCGCCCAAGAGUUCAUAUCGACGGCGGUGUUUGGCACCUCGAUGUCGGCUCAUCACAUCCUGGGGCUGAAGUAGGUCCCAAGGGUAUGGCUGUUCGCCAUUUAAAGUGGUACGCGAGCUGGGUUUAGAACGUCGUGAGACAGUUCGGUCCCUAUCUGCCGUGGGCGCUGGAGAACUGAGGGGGGCUGCUCCUAGUACGAGAGGACCGGAGUGGACGCAUCACUGGUGUUCGGGUUGUCAUGCCAAUGGCACUGCCCGGUAGCUAAAUGCGGAAGAGAUAAGUGCUGAAAGCAUCUAAGCACGAAACUUGCCCCGA